rnacentral:rRNA from 1 species
UACGUAGGGUGCGAGCGUUGCCCGGAUUUAUUGGGCGUAAAGGGCGCGUAGGCGGCCACGCACGUCCGUUGUGAAAUCGCCCGGCUCAACUGGGCGGGGUCAGCGGAUACGGUGUGGCUCGAGCAAGCUAGGGGGCAAUGGAAUUCCCGGUGUAGUGGUGGAAUGCGUAGAUAUCGGGAGGAACACCAGUGGCGAAGGCGGUUGCCUGGAGCUUUGCUGACGCUGAGGCGCGAAAAGCGUGGGGGAGCGAUCCGG